GGCGAGCACUACCUCCCUACGAGGUGGGGGUGGGGCAGUGUUUGUGGCCGUGGUUGUGGUGGGUGAACCUGGGGUUGAACUUGACUCACCGGAAACUGAACAAUGGGUGAAAGACAGGUUUGAAGCCUGGCGCCUGUGCCGGGAAGCCCCGAGGCCUCGUGUCACACCGGAGCAACGGGCGGGAAGCACGGGGAGAUGGAGUCGGGAUGGAUAGAGCUUCAAUCAGAUCCGGGAAAGAAGAAGGGCAUGAGUCCCAUCCUCAAGAGGCGAGAUGUUCCAAAAUCUGCAAUCCAGAACACUCUGGUCCCAAAUAGUCCAGAUUAAAAUACUAAACUUGUGAUUUUAACUGCCUCCUUGUGUCCCUGCUCAGUUACCUUCCGUGGCUCCCUAUUUCCUAUCACAUUAGGAGUUUAUAGUUCCUAUAAACUCCACCUGUGCAGCCUUUCGGGCUCUUCACAUACCUGCUCCAGCC
rnacentral:lncRNA from 1 species